CCCCAGUAGCGGCGAGCGAACGGGGAGCAGCCCGGAGUCUGAAUCAGCUUGUGUGUUAGUGGAACGGUCUGGAAAGUCCGACGGUACAGGGUGAUAGUCCCGUACACGAAAAUGCACAUGCUGUGAACUCGAAGAGUAGGGCGGGACACGUGGUAUCCUGUCUGAAUAUGGGGGGACCAUCCUCCAAGGCUAAAUACUCCUGACUGACCGAUAGUGAACCAGUAC
rnacentral:rRNA from 1 species